UCACUCCCUUCGGCAGCACGGCCACUAAAAUUGGUAUGAUAUAGAGGUUAUGGAGGACCCUGCCCAAGGAUGACAUGCAAGUUCGUGAAACAGUCCAUAUUUCA
rnacentral:snRNA from 1 species